GCUAGAACUGACUGGGUUCAGCAUUCCGGCUAACUGUGACUGCAAUAGAGGUGUGUUCGCCAUUGUAUCCUCUGCAACAUAGUGACAGCUGAAGCACAUAGAACUGUUUUCCUACAUCUCCUGCCGAUGGAGGAGCGUGCACCGGGUGUAGCACAAAGCGGACAUUGGGGCUUGGUGAUUAGCAUCAGCCCGAGGAGAGGGUACACCCCAUCUCAGGUGUGACUUCGGCCAACUUCUAAACCCAUACACAGGUUAAAGUUCAUAGGGACAGACAGACAACUUUGCCUUUUCUUAAAGCGCUCCAUCCACUGAAGGAACGAGCAGCAUUUGCAUCCCUUGGGAAAGAACUUCCGGAGUAAGGCAGAGAGAAAACAAACCUUCCAUCGUCGUCCCCUGGACGAAGGGGAACAAAAUGCUACCUAAUCUCUGAGAACAGAGCAAAGAUAAUGGGGGCUGAUUUUUUUUUUUUCUUUUUCCUCAUGUAUAUGGGGAACAUCACGAUUAGGCAGAAUAAUGUUCUGUUUUUUGUUUUUUGUUUUUUUUUAUUAAAAGCAGACCUUUUGUAGGAAAGCAAUCACUGGUAUCGAGAUACAAAGAAGUCAGCUCUGGGAGUGGUAGCAGCAGCAGGAUCAGGGCGUGAAGUGAGAGAGAGAGAGAGAGAUCUUGUGGGUUCACGUCGGUCAGACGGGACCUUAGAGCGGAUGCCCAAGCCACUGACAGGAGUAAGUGGUACUGAACUAAAUCUCGUGUGUAGCACGCAGAUCAGAUGGAUGGAAGUUUUUCUCUUGUUGAAUUUCACUCAUUCUUCUUUCACGAAUGAAUGAUUCCGAGGCCUCUGCCACACUCCGGGAAAACUUGUGUGACUGCCUUUUUUUAAAAGUGUGUGUCUGGUCACUUAUUUCUCUAAAACUAUCUCCUUGUCUGGCAAUCAGUCGGCCUUCUCUUGUAUACUUGUCCUAGCACAUUAUGUACGUGGGAAAUGUCAACAGACGUGAAGGAGACCAGAAAAAUUGGUGAAUAUUGAAAAAUGUGCGUUUGGGCUUCACAUGUUUAACUUUUUUUUUUUUUUAAAGAAAAAAAGUUGCAUGAAUGAAAAAAAACAACAACCUCUGUAUACAGUAUCUGUAAAAAAAAAAAAAAAAUGGCCUGUUUUGAUUUCUUGCUUCUACGCCACACGAACUAGAAUUCAAUGUGGCGCGUAGCAAACACUACCAUGCUGCAUUCUGGGUACCGAGGACCUUGUCUAACCGUACGUUGCCAUGAAUUAGCCCUGCCGCCUUUCUUCUCAAGGAUCAAAACCAGUUUGAUUUGGGAAUGCGCCCCUCCCAGUGGAAUUGGAGGUGCGUCCUUCCCGUGUCGUUUGUAGAUAUUGCCUGUGUAUUCCAUUUAAAACCAUAAUCUAGUUUGUAAAAGAGAGGAUGCCGCAUGUAAAUAAAGCUUUGACGACACUCUGUCGUG